CCUCGCCAUCUCCACAGACGCGCGUUAAGAUGACACACCACUCCUACGGCCAAAGCUAAACACCGCCUGUACUACACCGGAGCAUACCCAUACCCUCCUCAUCCGUCUCAUCACAGCAUCGUCGACGGUCCACUCUCCCCCUCCUCUCUCUCAACUACACUUCUCUACGCUGUCUAUCUAAAGCAUCAUACACGACGAAACACGUGUGUUGUGUGAACAGCUCAAACACACUCACAUCGUUCUCUUCGAGAUACACACCUCUCCUCUGCGCUAUCCCGCGACUAAACCUAUAAUCACCACUUCGAAACAAUCCUUCCCCACUUGACGCCGAGGGCUUAACCGGACCACAACCGCCCUUCACGUACCUCCCCCCUCGGGCAGUCGCCCCCCCCAAGCGUUAAAACUUCCUAAUAAUUUCUCGGGGGGCCCCCCCCACGCCUGGGGGGACCAUGUGGGUUUUAUUAAGAUUGCAACGCCGAAGAACCUUACCCACUCUUGACAUCCCAGAGAACUUUCCAGCGAUCCUUGGCCCCUUCGGGAACUAUCAGACAGGUGCUGCAUCGCUGUCGUCAGCUCGUGUUGUGAAACGUUGGGUUAAGUCCCGCAACGAGCGCAACCCUUAUCCUUUGUUGCCAGCGGUCCGGCCGGGAACUCAAAGGAGACUGCCAGUGAUAAACUGGAGGAAGGUGGGGAUGACGUCAAGUCAUCAUGACCCUGACGAGCAGGCCUACACACGUGCUACAAUGGCGCAUACGGUAACAGAGAAGCAGAUUGCUGCUUCGCUGACGAGCAAGCGGACCGGUCAGUAAAGUGCGUCGGAAACUGCCGGAUUGGAGGCGGAUAACUCGACUCCAUGAACGGUAGCUAAUACCGCUAGUAAUCGUCGCAAGACCAGAAUGCCACGGGGAACACGUUCCCGGGCCUCUGUACACACCGCACGUGCACACCAUGGGAGUGGGUAGCAAAAGAAGGUAGGGUAACGGCUAACCUACGGCGAGGGCGAUACCACUAGCUGAUUCAGACCGAGGAUGACCAGCCACACUGGAACUGAGACACGGUCCAGACUCCUACGGGAGGCAGCAGUGGGGAAUAUUGCACAAUGGGCGCAAGCCUGAUGCAGCCAUGCCGCGUGUAUGAAGAAGGCCUUCGGGUUGUAAAGUACUUUCAGCGGGGAGGAAGGCGAUAAGGUUAAUAACCUUGUCGAUUGACGUUACCCGCAGAAGAAGCACCGGCUAACUCCGUGCCAGCAGCCGCGGUAAUACGGAGGGUGCAAGCGUUAAUCGGAAUUACUGGGCGUAAAGCGCACGCAGGCGGUCUGUCAAGUCGGAUGUGAAAUCCCCGGGCUCAACCUGGGGAACUGCUUUCGAAACUGGCAGGCUAGAGUCUUGUAAGAGGGGGGGUAGAAUUCCCAGGUGUAGCGGUGAAAAUGCGUAGAGAUCUGGAGGCAAUACCGUUUGGCGAAAGCCGGCCCCUCUGCGACUAGAGACUGUACGGCUCCAGGGUGUCGCAAAGCCGUUUGGUGUAGGUAAACGGGGAUUUUGUUUACUCCUGGUGAGCUCCUACGGCAGGAAUAACGAUCUUCGGGCGUUG
rnacentral:rRNA from 1 species